UGGGAGUUUUAAUCUCCCAGCCCGUUUGCCUGCUACUGUUUUUCAGAGAACUGCGAUAACUGCUUUAUUAUUUAAGGGUUGUUAGUUGCAACCCCUGCGAAGACAUAGGGCAGACCGUGCCUACACUGUGGGGAGCUCUGAAGGGCAUUUCCAAACUCAGGCAGGUUGUGCCCACAGGCUUGCCCGUGUCCUCAGAGCUCCCGAGACCCUGGUUAACAUCCGGUGUUGCUGUGGACAUAAACGUGGAGGGAGCAGUGGUGGGACGACGGCCAAGGGGGUGGUGUCUUCGAGGGGCUCAGCUGUUCACGUGGAGACUGACGCCGCCAGAGUGAAGAUGGAUCCAAAAUCACGCCCAGACUCCUUAGAACACGGCUGUCACGUGGCUCACACGCUCGGAAAUGACCAACUGAGGGACUGGGCUUCCUUAGGGAGCAUCUGCCCGUCUUUCUGGAUGGUGGCAGGGACACGGCUGUGUAGACACAUCUCCAGGAGGAC